rnacentral:rRNA from 1 species
GAUGAACGCUGGCGGCGUGCCUAAUACAUGCAAGUCGAGCGAAUGGAUUAAGAGCUUGCUCUUAUGAAGUUAGCGGCGGACGGGUGAGUAACACGUGGGUAACCUGCCCAUAAGACUGGGAUAACUCCGGGAAACCGGGGCUAAUACCGGAUAACAUUUUGAACCGCAUGGUUCGAAAUUGAAAGGCGGCUUCGGCUGGCACCUAUGGAUGGACCCGCUUCGCAUUAGCUCGUUGGUGAGGUAACGGCUCACCAAGGCAACGAUGCGUAGCCGACCUGAGAGGGUGAUCGGCCACACUGGGACUGAGACACGGCCCAGACUCCUACGGGAGGCAGCAGUAGGGAAUCUUCCGCAAUGGACGAAAGUCUGACGGAGCAACGCCGCGUGAGUGAUGAAGGCUUUCGGGUCGUAAAACUCUGUUGUUAGGGAAGAACAAGUGCUAGUUGAAUAAGCUGGCACCUUGACGGUACCUAACCAGAAAGCCACGGCUAACUACGUGCCAGCCGCCGCAGUAA